AUCUAAAUAGUUUAAUUAAAAUAUCGAUUUGUGAUGUCGGUGAUGUAUUGUGUACUUUAGGUU
rnacentral:tRNA from 1 species